GGGAACUACUGGCCAGGAGGUGCGGUAAGACGGGUGGUGGGAGCUUUAAACGGAAUGACUGUGUGUAAAGCGGUCGCAGGUGGUGAUGUAAGACAGAUGUGAAAUCCCCUGGCUCAACCUGGGAACUGCGUUUGUUACUGCAUCACUCGAGUACGGCAGAGGGAGGUGGAAUUCCACGUGUAGCAGUGAAAUGCGUAGAGAUGUGGAGGAACACCGAUGGCGAAGGCAGCCUCCUGGGCCAGUACUGACGCUCAUGCACGAAAGCGUGGGGAGCAAACAGGAUUAGAUACCCCAGUAGUC
rnacentral:rRNA from 1 species